rnacentral:sRNA from 1 species
UCGCAUCAUUCCGAAGCUGUGGACAAGC